CUGUCACAUGAUACGCUGUAUUAGACAUUUAAUUUUUAUCGUUAUGUACUAUUUUUGUAGGAAAGAAAACCGCGCGUGGCCGAGAGAUUGAGACCAUGAAUUCAGAACGAAGUUUAAGGCCAAUGCUAAUUCACGGUCUUCGCGUUGAUACUUGCAAUUAGACGCGUUUAGUUCAUUCAAUUAUCGCUCAUUUAUUUAUGAUGCUCGGAAUACUGCGCAACUGUAAAACGCUUGUUAGUGAGUUCAAACAAAACUUGCAAUGAUAUGUCUUUUCAUUUUCGUUAAUUGUAUAGGGAUGGCUCUUCCCGUAUUCCCAGGUAUAUCCCAGAAGUUUGAAAUUAUUUCAAGUAAUUUCGUAAGUUGUUUGAUGCUUUACUUAUCUUUAUAGUUGUUUAAAACACUUGCAACCUAUUAUCUAAGCGCAUAAAGUAACAGGAAGUAUUAUCAGCAUUCUUCCGAUUUAUCUAGCAUGUGUAGUAUUAUCUAUUUUACUUUGUAGAAAUUUUUAUAUUAAGUGAAUUUUGAGUUCUAAACAGAGUCUAAUAUUUUGCAUUUCUUCAUCUGCAAAAUUUCAUGACAGUCAGAGAUACAUCUCAUUCCUGACGCGAGCCAAGUAUUAAAAAUUUUUAUCAUUUCCAGAUCAUCCGCACAUGCGAUAACUAUGUGGUAGGUUUCUCCCCUUUUGCGAAGAGAACGCUAUAUGUAUAUUUGCCAUUGACACGCGCAGUAUUGAACUCAAACAUUUCCAUCGUGUCAGUCUGAUGCAACGGCUUACUUGACUUCUUAAUUGCAAAUACAAUACCAGAUAAUUAAAUUAAAAAUCGUGCUCAUAAUUUCUUCUGUGAUUGAUGUUAUAUAAAAAAUCUGCAAUCGCAUCAAAUUAUAAUUGGAAUGCAUGUGCACGUGGAUUUUAUAAAAUGCUUGAGUAAUAAUCUGAUGGAAUUGGGUGUGGCGGUGAAGAAAAAAACUUACUCCAAAUGCAUACUGUUCGAGCGGAUUAACUGCCUAUAUUAAUUCUUCUAGGAGUACAAUCUGCGUGAUAUAGAUCGAGCUUAAUGAAGUUAAUUAGCAAUUAAAAAUGCUGCCGCGUUUAUAAAUUUAAAUUUAAGCGGUGCCGUAAUACGAUUUACGUUUCAAUCUGUGAUCGAUGCAUGCUGUACUAUUUUAUCUCAUAAUUACGUGAAAUCAUGACGUUUCUUUGCAAAAUGAAAAAAUUACACGAUGCACGACCGGUUCGAAGAAAAUCCGGAUAUAAAAGAGCAAACGAAGGCACUUGGUGUCGAGUGAGUAAUUAUUUUAGUUUGUUCGAACGAUAAUACGAAAGAUAAAAUACUUGCUUUAAAAAAAAUUUGAAUGGCCGUACAUGAAUUUGACGUGAGUUUGUAGAACCGGAAAUGCAACACGUGGGCGCACGUUUGAUUCAAGCCUGAGUAUACAUACAGAGCUGCGAUUUCUUCGACCUCCUUAUCAUUCGCCAAUUAUCGAUCUGAGUCAUCGUUGUGCACAUCAUUGUGACAUUAGUUGGUAGAAAGCAAAUAAAAGCCGGCUAUGCAGUGACAAGUACAUUAUCAAGAAACGUUUACAAAAAGAAACUCGUAAAAUCUUGCAUGUGGGAGGUUCCUUGUACUCAAAGCUACAAAAUGUAAGUAACAAAAUUCUCAAGAAAAAUCGAGUAGUUUCACAAGGAAGUAUAAUCGUAAAAAAAUAAAAAGGAAAUUGCUGAUAUUACUUUCUAGUUCGGAGAACUGAGAAUGACCCCGCGUAAACCUGGAGCGCGGGAGUCACAAGUUCCCACCACGUGAGCGGGCAUGCACUCAUGCACUUCGCUCUUCGCACCAAAUCAAAGAUAAAUGAGACGAGCCACUGGUCGUUGCAAAGUUAAUUUCUAUAGACGAUAUAGAAUAAGAGUCUUUCGAAGAAUCUGUCAUAGUAGGUAUUUACAUCCGGCGCGUGGGCCACCCAUAAGUUUUUCAAUUGAUUAAUUAAUUCAUUUAAGUGUAAUAUU